rnacentral:rRNA from 1 species
UAGGGAAUCUUCCACAAUGGACGAAAGUCUGAUGGAGCAACGCCGCGUGAACGAUGAAGGCCUUCGGGUCGUAAAGUUCUGUUGUAAGGGAAGAACAAGUGCCGCAGGCAAUGGCGGCACCUUGACGGUACCUUGCGAGAAAGCCACAGCUAACUACGUGCCAGCAGCCGCGGUAAUACGUAGGUGGCAAGCGUUGUCCGGAAUUAUUGGGCGUAAAGCGCGCGCAGGCGGCCUCUUAAGUCUGAUGUGAAAGCCCCCGGCUCAACCGGGGAGGGCCAUUGGAAACUGGGAGGCUUGAGUAUAGGAGAGAAGAGUGGAAUUCCACGUGUAGCGGUGAAAUGCGUAGAGAUGUGGAGGAACACCAGUGGCGAAGGCGACUCUUUGGCCUAUAACUGACGCUGAGGCGCGAAAGCGUGGGGAGCAAACAGGAUUAGAUACCCUGGUAGUCCACGCCGUAAACGAUGAGUGCUAGGUGUUGGAGGGUUUCCGCCCUUCAGUGCUGAAGCUAACGCAUUAAGCACUCCGCCUGGGGAGUACGGUCGCAAGGCUG